CGCUGGCGGCACGCCUAACACAUGCAAGUCGAACGCAGUAGCAAUACUGAGUGGCAAACGGGUGAGUAUAAUGUGGGAAUCUGCCUUUUGGUUUGGAAUAACACGAGGAAACUUGUGCUAAUACCGAAUAAGCCUUUACGGGGAAAGUUUUAACGCCGAAAGAUGAGCCCGCACUUGAUUAGCUAGUUGGUAAGGUAAAAGCUUACCAAGGCAAUGAUCAAUAGCUGUUCUUAGAGGAAGACCAGCCACAUUGGGACUGAGACACGGCCCAGACUCCUACGGGAGGCAGCAGUGGGGAAUCUUGCACAAUGGGGGAAACCCUGAUGCAGCGAUGCCGCGUGAGUGAAGAAGGCCCUUGGGUUGUAAAACUCUUUCGUCGGGGAAGAAAAUGACUGUACCCGAAUAAGAAGGUCCGGCUAACUUCGUGCCAGCAGCCGCGGUAAUACGAAGGGACCUAGCGUAGUUCGGAAUUACUGGGCUUAAAGAGCUCGUAGGUGGUUAAAAAAGUUGAUGGUGAAAUCCCAAGGCUUAACCUUGGAACUGCCAUCAAAACUUUUUAGCUAGAGUGUGAUAGAGGUAAGUGGAAUUUCUAGUGUAGAGGUGAAAUUCGUAGAUAUUAGAAAGAACACCAAAUGCGAAGGCAACUUACUGGGUCACUACUGACACUGAGGAGCGAAAGCAUGGGUAGCGAAGAGGAUUAGAUACCCUCGUAGUCCAUGCCGUAAACGAUGUGUGCUAGACGUUGGAAAUAUAUUUUUCAGUGUCGCAGCGAAAGCAUUAAGCACACCGCCUGGGGAGUACGACCG
rnacentral:rRNA from 1 species